rnacentral:misc_RNA from 1 species
UCCGGUUUGACACCGGCAGUCCCGCUAGAGUCCUCAGCAUUACCUGUUAGCAACUAACGGCAGGGGUUUCGCUCGUUAAGGGACUUAACCCGACACUUCACAGCACGAGCUGACGACAGCCAUGCAGCACCUGUGCACGUUCCACUCAAAGAGCGUCAUUCCUGUUUCCAGGAACUAAUCCGUGCAUGUCAAACCCAGGAUAAGGUUCUUCGCGUUGCUUCGAAUUAAGCCACAUGCUCCACCGCUUGUGUGAGCCCCCGUCAAUUCCUUUGAGUUUUAGCCUUGCGACCGUACUCCCCAGGCGGUGUACUUAAUGCUUUAGCUUCGACCGAGAUGGUGUCAAAACCUCCUCGAUCUAGUACACAUCGUUUAGGGCGUGGACUAC